rnacentral:piRNA from 1 species
AAUAAAUUUAGUUCUAAAAAGACUAGUGCA